rnacentral:piRNA from 1 species
AAGAAAUAGGUCCUAGUUUGGCAUAUCCAGC